CAACCUCAGAAACAUGCGUGAUUCAUCUCUCCGGUCAAGUAAGCCUUGCUCUGUCGCCGCCGUCAAUUUAUGGUUUCAUGCUCGCAAGAGUUUUUUUGGCCAUGGAAGGUGCAGAGGAUUUCCUUAGAAUAUGAAACAUUUCAAUAUUAUCAAGCUCUGGAUGUGAAAAGGAUUAGAGAGGUGACUUAUAA